rnacentral:rRNA from 1 species
UACGAAGGGGGCUAGCGUUGCUCGGAAUCACUGGGCGUAAAGGGCGCGUAGGCGGAUCUUUAAGUCGGGGGUGAAAUCCUGGAGCUCAACUCCAGAACUGCCUUUGAUACUGAGGAUCUUGAGUUCGGGAGAGGUGAGUGGAACUGCGAGUGUAGAGGUGAAAUUCGUAGAUAUUCGCAAGAACACCAGUGGCGAAGGCGGCUCACUGGCCCGAUACUGACGCUGAGGCACGAAAGCGUGGGGAGCAAACAGG